CGGACCGUUGCACACCAAAGUGCUUUGUCAGGCCAGGUAUAUGUCUUGUCCACCUGCUCCCUCGCCUGACUUACCUCACAUGUUCAUCUGAACAAUAAAGAUGUUGAAGCAGAAAACCCUGUUCCAUUCAUUUGUAUCAUGACUUAUCUUGGAACUUUGGGACUACCUAUCAGGGCUUUACUAAUAGGAUUGUUAUAGUGGCAUGGUUGCAGUAAAGUGAGGUAAUAAAGGGCUAACUUUGGGGUGCAUGUAACAGUCUUUGAUGAAAGGAGCAAGACUCUGCAUCGGCCAUCCCUACAAGGAC